AACCCACGGUGAGGGCACCUUCUUAAAAGGUCCUUGCAUAUUUCCCAUGCAUCGUAGAGUGUUUCUAAAUCCAUCUACAUAAAAGAAGAGAUAUCAUUAUGUAAUU
rnacentral:snoRNA from 1 species